rnacentral:rRNA from 1 species
AUUGAACGCUGGCGGCAUGCCUUACACAUGCAAGUCGAACGGCAGCACGGGAGCAAUCCUGGUGGCGAGUGGCGAACGGGUGAGUAAUAUAUCGGAACGUGCCCAGUCGUGGGGAUAACGUAGCGAAAGCUACGCUAAUACCGCAUACGAUCUAUGGAUGAAAGCGGGGGAUCGCAAGACCUCGCGCGAUUGGAGCGGCCGAUAUCAGAUUAGGUAGUUGGUGAGGUAAAGGCUCACCAAGCCGACGAUCUGUAGCUGGUCUGAGAGGACGACCAGCCACACUGGGACUGAGACACGGCCCAGACUCCUACGGGAGGCAGCAGUGGGGAAUUUUGGGACAAUGGGCGCAAGCCUGAUCCAGCAAUGCCGCGUGCAGGAUGAAGGCCUCGGUUGUAACUGACUUUAUACUAGAGAAC